GUUGGUGAGAACUCCGAGGCCUCCUAACUCAUCAACCGCAGAAGCUGAGUUGAGAUUUCACUCUGGGGGAGCCAGGUGGGGCUGUGUGACCCCCCCCCCCCAUCAACCCUACAGAGGAGGGGAAGAACUUCAGGCAUGAGGUGGAUAGGAUGGAUGGCUGGGACAUGAUGGUCUGCUGAUUUCUUGUUCAAAGAUGACUUGUGGGAGCCUAGGCUAGGAUUCUAGCGUGUUCCUUUCUGGAUCGCCAAGGGAAGAGUUAUUAAGGAACCGGCACUCGCCAUAGGAGCUAUGGAUGUAUCAAUGAGGAGACGACUUUAACUCGUGUGCUGGGUAUAAAUAUGCAAGUGCUGACAUGGGCUGCAUUUUUCAAUUUUAUGGCCAAGUGACGUCUACAGCCGACUGAUAAAUGGAAGCUUUGAGGUAGGAGAGUUGGGCUAAGAUUUUUCUCUCUCUUUCUCUCCAAUUACUCAAAGGAGGAGAAAAGUUUUAGACAGAGAUAAAUGGAAGAUAUCCACUGCCUGCAGAUAUAUGACUCCCCAGAUCUCCUGUCUGGGUAAAUCAGAGCUUCUCAUGGCUACAGAUAAUGAGAUAAUUAAAAAGUAGUAAAUAUAAGUGUGGAUUGCUGUCUACCAUUAAGCCCAGAAAGGGCUUCUGAUCAUGAAACACUGGCUCUGUAUUUUGAAACAUCAUAUCAAUUAUAAGAGACACUUUUACAGAUCGCUCUAAGAGAUAUUUACAUAAAACUAUAUUUCUAUACACUACAGAAAAUACCCCAAGUAUAGAUUUAAUCAAAACUGUAAAUAAGACUAAAGGUAGGCUGUAAGGGUGAAAUAUGCAGCUGUAAAAAUCUUAGCAAAAAUUUAAAUCAGUUUCAUUCUGAAUUAUAUUGGCCUUCAUAUCUCUUACAUCUCCCUCAGCCCCCAGCCUCCUUUUCUACUACUUCACCUUAAUCUUCUUACACUGGAGAUGAGACAUUUGGGGGGAUAAAUGUCACGGUGGCUUUAUGCUUGCUUCUUUCUGUGUUUGUGGAGGAGGGGGUUUAAAAGUGGAGGGUGUAUUUUUUUACUCCACAGUGCACUAUCCUGGUCCUUAGUCACUUACGAGGUCCUAUGAGUGAUGGGACGGAUACAGGUUUGGGUGUGAGCUGACUAUGGGCUGACUCCUAUUUGAGACCAGCUUCUCAUGCCAGCUUAUGCUCUGUGGGAAGAGGACUGGCAGACAGUGAAAGAUUUCAGCCUUUGAGCUGUGCUACGGAACGUAGAGUCUGUUUAGCACACUGCAAGGGGUUGCUGGUUAGCAGCACAGAGUAACAGUAGUCUGAGGCAGUGGGCCGUGGGGGUCUUCAUUUGGAGACUCCUUGGGUGUCCUAGCAUGUCACUCCCAUCACAUGAAUGGAAGUGGUCCAGACUGGUUGGCGUUUCUGACCUGGGAUGUUAGCCCAAAUUAUAGAGUUUCAGUCUCCGCCAUGCAGAUGAAGGCUAUGCAAAUGAGAGCUAUGCAAAUGAGGGCAUUUCUGAUUGGCCCACGUUCUUACCUCGGGCAGAAGCUUGGAUUACAGUGCUCCAACACGGAAGUAUUAUUGGUCCAUUGUGCUCCUGGGUCCCUGAUUGGUGGGAGAUGAGGACAGUCUGAUUGGGAGUCUUGCCAUCUGAAUGUGAAGUGUCCCCCAUAGGUUGGGACACUUGGUUCUAAGAUGGUUGUGCUUUUUAGGAAAGGACUGUGAACCUUUAAGAGGUGGAAACUGGGAUAACAUUUGAAAUGUAAAUAAAUAAAAUAAUCAAUAACAAUAAAAAAAGAGGUGGCGCCCCACUGGAGAAAAUGGAUCACCAGAGGUGGACUUUGAGCUGUAUAGCCAGAACCCACUUUCUGUUCGCUAUUCGGAGAGCAAAGAUGGAGAGUGACCAGCCAGCCUCCCACUCCUGCCUUCUGUGCCUGUCAAUAUGUUAUCCCUCCGUGACCCUCCAGCUGUCAGCCAAAGUAAAUGUUUUCUUCCCUAAGUUACCUCUUACCAGGUAUUUGGUUAAAUCAACAGUAUUGGGAUUAUUUUUUCCAAUUUGCUAAAUAAGAGAGCAUCAUGGCAACUCAUAUAGAAGAGAAAUAUAUGGAAUCUGGGCCAUCCAGGAUUAUGCUAGGAAAAGGAAGCCCAAGUGUCUUGUCUUAAUCAACCAGCAAAAGGAAGCCCAAGUGUCUUGUCUUAAUCAACCAGCAAAAGGAAGCCCAAGUAUCUUGUCUUAAUCAACCAGUCCUAGGUGUUACUGCCCAGCUUUGCUGAGACUAGAGUUGUCUGUGGAACUACAUGACCUCUCGCCUACACAUCUUUUUAUUGAGUGAAUGAAUGAAUAAAAAUGAAAACCAGGAUGAGAGACAUGUUUUUAAAAUGAAUCAGAUGUUAUGAUGGGACGUGGCUCUCACCCCUGGUGUUUUACAAACGCAGCUGGCAGCAUUUACUACAAAAGUGGGUUUGAGACAUUCAUUCUAGGUCUUUGAGGAUGGGGUCCAUAUGCUUGUUCACACGGAUGUGUGUAAAAAAAAUCUGUCUGCCACUUAUGUAUUGAAUGCCUUUGAGCAAAUCCUGGAACCUUUCUUUGUAAGCUUUUCUUUUCCUUAGCUCCACUUAAGAUCUUCAUCUUCAUCAUCAUCAUGUCUAUGAAUGUGCACAUGGGUGCAUGUGAGAGAAGACGGCCCAAGGAGGCCAGAGGCAUUGGAUGACUCUCAGCUGGAGUUAAGGUCGUUGUGAGCUUUCCUACGUGGCUGCUGGGAACUGAACAGGACUCUUCUGGAAGAAUAGUAGGAUGCCUCACAACCACUGAGCCAUCUCUCUGACCCCUAUCUUCUUCCUCUCAUUUGUAGGAGGGGGAUUGCACAGUCCAGCCUGGCAUGAAAGGAUCCCGAGGGAAGGUAGCGAUGGGCUAUGGAGUCAGCGGUGAAACCAAAGCUUAUUUAUCUUUGGCAGCUCUUCUCUCUUUGCUAUGCUAAGGCCAAAUGCCUUCGGCUUCUGGAAGUCUGCCCAACAGGGUGGGCCAAUGCCCAGGAAUCAUUAGGCAAUGGUGACAGAAAAGGCGUAUCAGCUUUUAAGAAGCAAUCCUGAGAUGAAGUCUCUUGUGAUCUUGCCUCUCAGAGCUCACUCAUCAUAAGCUAUGCAAAAACAGUAAGUGGGCCACCUCCAGGAAAGUCACCCGCUAGCCCUCACCUCUCCUGGAUGGUUCCUGAAAUGGGGUUAAGUAUUUUCUAUAACAAAAUAAAAUCUAAUAAG
ensembl:processed_transcript 1700028P15Rik RIKEN cDNA 1700028P15 gene